AACCAACCAGCCUUCUCUCAAAGCAAACCAAAAAGAAAAACCAACAUUGAAAGAGGAAGUUACGAUAAGCGGAGCAGUAAUAGGGCAUCUUUCUAUUGGCAGGCGACUUGGCUAUUUGUAUCUUUUGUGUUCUUGACUAUUGGCUAUGUCACUUGCCAAAGGAGAGUUGCCCUGUCACUGCUUCCGCUUAAACACAGUCUAUAACCGGUUCUGC
rnacentral:misc_RNA from 1 species